rnacentral:misc_RNA from 1 species
CGAAGAAAAGAAGAAAAUUAUCUUCGGAGGUUGUCUUUUAGUAUAAGUCACAUAAACAAUCUCAAUCAUUUCUGCAUACUCUCUAAUUGAGACAUACAACAUCUGAACCACUCUCAUCUGCCUGUUUUCCCUAUUUAUAUUGUAACUUUUAAUGUUGUCAACAUCCUGUAACCUAACAAAAACUCUGGUGUAGUAGUGCGUGUAGGAGCGCCGCAACAGCAGCCGUCGCGGGUUUUAUUCCCAUUCGGGAUAGAUAUGUGCACAGUAAAAAUAGCGUAAAACGAAAAACGUUCUGAGCGUAUGCUAAAACAUUAUCUGCAUCACUUCUUCUUAUUACUUUGUCAUUUGCUUCUUUGUACUUCUUAAAGCAGCAAAGCAGAUGCUUUCCAAAUACUGUGAAAUAUAUUUCAUUCAUAUUCCACGAAUUGUUGAUAUUACUAAACAGGGAAAGAGAUAUAAAGUUACUCCGUAAUUAUUGUGUGUUGUUAGUUUCUACUUUCUGAGAAUUUUUUUUUGAGUUCUUAAAUGAUAAAAUGAAAUUGUUUUUAAAAUUAUUUAUUUGUAUUUGGUGUUAUUAUUGUUGUAUAUGCAAACUGUUGUGACGUUCGUUAAAUUUUAGUUGUAUUUGUUUUAUCCAUUGUUUCUCAUGAGUCAUUUGUUAGCUGAAAUAAAGAAUUAUAUUAUUAUUAUUGUUAUUAUUAUUAUACUGGAUGAGUGACAUCACUCCACCCUGUCUGUUAUUAUUAUCAUUAAAUGAUUAGUUUCUCAGUUCAUUGUAUUAGGUUAGGUUUCAUUAGCGGAGCUGGCACUUGUUUGUUGAUGUAGUAAUUGUCACUCCCUUUAAUUCUUUUACCAGUUGGUAAUCGAUUUAGAUUUCAUAAUACUGGUUGGAAUAAGAACUUAUGGUUAACAAUUCAGCUUCUCGCU